CAGCUCUGCUUUGAGCAGUUUUGGGUGCUCAGCUCUGUGGCCAAGAGCCUCAUGAUGAGUCUAGAUCAAACUGCUGCAGCCUUGCUGUUCCUGGCUGUGGACACCCAGCUGCUGCUUGGCAACAAGGAGCUCGCUCUGAGCCCAGAGGAAUAUGUCUUUGCUGCUAUCAACCUGUACAUGGACAUCAUCAACAUCUUCCUCUACGUUCUCGCUCUCGUCGGAAGAGCCCGAGGUUGAGCGGAGGGAGUGUCCGAUCGCGAUCAAGGCAGAACAUUAUUUGGAAUUUGCAUAAAGGACCAAGUUUCCAUAAUCAAAGCUUUUGACUUGCUUUCUAGUGUGUAUUUAACAUAGGGUUAAAUGCUGCUUUUGUUUCACCCAGUGUAAAUGCUUAUCUUAAAUUGAUGCUGUCAGUAGUGUUUUGUUGAUAACUGAAGUUUUCUUUGUUGAACUUAUUUUAAAAUCAUAUUUUUGUUUAUGGGGAGAUCUGAUUAAAGCUCAGCUGGUGAGCAUCUAAUGAGGGAUUCACACUUAAGGAGUGCAAAUAGGUCAGUGUGCUUGAUGCAGUUUUCCACUGGUAUGACUGUAUGAUGAUGUCUAAAAUUAUUUAGUCACCAACCAAAGACCAUGAAAUCAUAAUAUAUCGGAUCAAGGUUGAUGUUUUGCUGCAGCCGUCAGUAGGAAUGUGAAGGGCUAAAUUGGCAAAAUUGUGGGAGCCGAGUCUCUGAGGACACCCCUGCUAAAAAACCUUAUUGAAAAGUGACUACAAAGUGGUCGUUGUGAAAUAUUUCUAUACUGUUUUUGGGGCCUGCCUAGCAACGCUGCGAGCCCACCCACAAAAGUGGUAUCAAAACGUGCGGCUCGUUCCCGGCAUUGGAGCUAUUACUUUUAUGGGGAAUCAGCGUUACGACGGCGACGUAAAAAGUGAAAAACAAGCGAAAUUUCCAACUGCCGAAACGCAGAGCAUAACUGCCACCAACUGCCGCUCCGCUAGA